rnacentral:rRNA from 1 species
AAUAUUGCACAAUGGAGGAAACUCUGAUGCAGCGACGCCGCGUGAGUGAAGAAGGUCUUCGGAUCGUAAAACUCUGUCCUUGGUGAAGAAAAAAAUGACGGUAGCCAAGGAGGAAGCCCCGGCUAACUACGUGCCAGCAGCCGCGGUAAUACGUAGGGGGCGAGCGUUGUCCGGAUUUACUGGGCGUAAAGGGUGAGUAGGCGGUUAUGUGCGUCAGGUGUAAAAGGCGUAGGCUUAACUUACGUUAGUACUUGAAACUGCAUAACUUGAGUGCAGGAGAGGUAAGUGGAAUUCCUAGUGUAGCGGUGAAAUGCGUAGAUAUUAGGAGGAACACCAGUGGCGAAGGCGACUUACUGGACUGUAACUGACGCUGAGUCACGAAAGCGUGGGUAGCAAACAG